rnacentral:rRNA from 1 species
CCAAAGUCCCAAGGUGGUCUACGCUUCCGCGAACUGCGUCUUUUUAAUCAAGCCUUGCUUGCUCGCCAAGCUUGGAGGCUCUUGACCAAACCGGGCAGCUUGUGCGCCCGAGUUUUGAAGGCGAGGUACUAUCCAAGUGGUAGUCUACAGGACACGGUCUUCUCAGGUGGGGCUUCAGCUACUUGGCAGGGUGUGCAAUAUGGACUA